rnacentral:rRNA from 1 species
GAUGAACGCUGGCGGCGUGCCUAAUACAUGCAAGUCGAGCGAACAGAUGAGGAGCUUGCUCCUCUUACGUUAGCGGCGGACGGGUGAGUAGCACGUGGAUAACCUACCUAUAAGACUGGGAUAACUUCGGGAAACCGGAGCUAAUACCGGAUAAUAUAUUGAACCGCAUGGUUCAAUAUUUAAAGACGGUUUUGCUGUCACUUAUAGAUGGAUCCGCGCCGCCUUAUCUACUUGGUAAGGUAACGGCUUACCAAGGCGACGAUGCGUAGCCGACCUGAGGGGGUGAUCGGGCACACAGGAACUGAGACACGGGCCAGACUCAUAAGGGAAGGAGCAGUAGGGAAUCUUAAGCAAUGGGCGAAAGCCUGACGGAGCAACGGCGGGUGAGGGAAGAAGGUGUUCGGAUUGGAAAACUCUGUUAUUAGGGAAGAACAAAAGUGGAAGUAACUAGGCACGUCUUGACGGUAACUUAUCAAAAAGCCACGGCUAACUACGUG